AAGACCUUGCGCUUUUGGAGCGGCCGAUGCCUGAUUAGCUUGUUGGUAAGGUAAAAGCUUACCAAGGCUUCGAUCAGUAGCUGGUCUGAGAGGACGACCAGCCACACUGGGACUGAGACACGGCCCAGACUCCUACGGGAGGCAGCAGUGGGGAAUUUUGGACAAUGGGGGCAACCCUGAUCCAGCCAUGCCGCGUGAGUGAAGAAGGCCUUCGGGUUGUAAAGCUCUUUCAGCCGGAACGAAACGGUUACGGAUAACACCCGUGACUACUGACGGUACCGGAGGAAGAAGCACCGGCUAACUACGUGCCAGCAGCCGCGGUAAUACGUAGGGUGCGAGCGUUAAUCGGAAUUACUGGGCGUAAAGCGUGCGCAGGUGGUUUUGUAAGUCAGAUGUGAAAGCCCCGGGCUCAACCUGGGAACU
rnacentral:rRNA from 1 species